UAAUUACGCAAAUAUAUCGAAGGCUGGUCAGAAAAUAAAAGGUCGGUUUGCUAGAGAAGGUGAAGAACGCAAGGAGCGGUUACCAGUCUCCAUUGAUUCUUACAGAGAAGAAAGAAGAGAGAGAGAGAGAGAGAGAUCUAGAGAGAGAAGGAAACCUAAUUGCGCCUCUACUCUCUGUGUAGAAGGUUCGCCUCUCUUACAUCGUCUUCGAUCACCGCCUCAUCAACUCGCUCUCGUUGGAUACCUGGUUGUACCGCAGAAGAAAACAAGAUGCUUCUACUCUCGUUACUCAAGCCUGCGCAAGGUCACCCUAGGGUGAUUGACAAAGUUCAAGAGGAUACAAAAAGCCGUUCAGCUUCCACUUUUGUUACUCGAGACUGUGCAAGGUCACCCUAUGUUGGUGGAACUGAAAAAUAGAGAGACGUACAAUGGUCAUUUGGUAAACUGCGACACUUUGAUGAACAUCCAUCUUCGUGAAGUUAUAUGUACCUCGAAGGAUGGGGACAGGUUUUGGCGAAAUCCUGAGUGCUACAUUAGGGGAAAUACAAUCAAGUAUCUUACAGUUCCAGAUGAGAUAGAAAGCCUCCUGGUGUGGGGCACGGGAUACCUCCUCCAAAGCUAAACGCAUAGGCCGCGGUAUGGAGGUCGAGGUGAAGGUCGGCUUGUGUAAAAGCUCGAGAGACCAGAUGAGCUCAAGUCCCCAGUGAAGCGGUCCUGUCAUUUAAAAAAGGUAUGAUAUAUAAGGAAUUAAGUUGUAAUAAAUUAUAAAUAAGGGAUUAACAAAAUAAAUAAGAAAUGAUUGGGCUGGGCGUUAUUUUCUUUUAAUGGGCCUUAAUUUAAUUCGUGGACCGGGACACUGUUUUUGUUAAUACGUGUAAACUGGAACAGGUUGUUUAUAUGGGUUGGUCUCAGUUUUUGUUGGUGAUGUGGCCCUAAUAUGUAUAAUUCGCGGACUGGGCCACUUUUUCUGUUCGUGGGCCGCAUUAUUUAAUAGGGCUGGGCAUUAUUUUUUCCUCUAAUGUGCUGGGCCCCAAAAUUUUAUCGUUAUCUGGGCCAAAUUUUGCUUUCAUGUUGAGCCUCAUUUUUUUUAGACUGGGUUGGGUCUCAGCAGUUUUAAUGGGCCACUUUUUUUUUGGACCUCCGUUUGUUUGUAAAGUGGGACCCAUUGAUAAAUUGGACUGGGGAUUUUUUUUUCUC